AUGGAAGAACGGGGCGUUUUUGACCAAUUCUUUUGCAAAAAAAAAUUCCGUUCAAGAAAGAAGAAGAUCAAUUUUGGGUUGAACCAACAACCUGAUUGUGUGGUUAUUCUGAAUGCAGAUAGAAAGACUUCGGUCAUACUGGAAGCUGAUCGAUCACAAAUACCUAUUCCAUCCUUAGUUGAUUCUAUGAUCCCAUGGGAAUCCUAUAAAAGAAUCACUUAUCCCAUCCCAGCGAAUGAUCCUAUACAGUUCGUAUAUCUAUUUCGUCAUUCGAUCAUGAAAACAGUGAUUCUUGAACAGAAUGCGAUUAGUAGAGAAGCGCAAUCUCUCAGAGUCACUUUUAGUACGGGGAAGUCCAUAGGAGGGAUGAGAUCCGCCUGCUACUCCACCUCUUCUUCUUCCUCAAUAGACGAAGAAUAA
rnacentral:rRNA from 1 species